rnacentral:rRNA from 1 species
CUACGGACAAAGGGCAGCAAACUCGCGAGAGCUAGCAAAUCCCAUAAACCGUGGCUCAGUUCAGAUCGUAGGCUGCAACUCGCCUACGUGAAGGAGGAAUCGCUAGUAAUCGCAGGUCAGCAUACUGCGGUGAAUACGUUCCCGGGCCUUGUACACACCGCCCGUCACACCAUGGAAGUUGGCCAUGCCCGAAGUCGUUACUCCAACCCGCAAGGGAGGAGGACGCCGAAGGUGGGGCUGAUGACUGGGGUGAAGUCGUAACAAGGUAGCCGUACCGGAAGGUGCGGCUGGAUCACCUCCUAA